UACGUAGGGGGCUAGCGUUGUCCGGAAUCAUUGGGCGUAAAGAGCGUGUAGGCGGCCCGGUAAGUCCGCUGUGAAAGUCGGGGGCUCAACCCUCGAAAGCCGGUGGAUACUGUCGGGCUAGAGUGCGGAAGAGGCGAGUGGAAUUCCUGGUGUAGCGGUGAAAUGCGUAGAUAUCUGGAGGAACACCGGUGGCGAAGGCGGCAUCCUGGGCCGGCAUUGACGCUGAGGCGCGAAAGCCAGGGGAGCAAACGGG
rnacentral:rRNA from 1 species